GGCAAAUGCCCCCAGACUGCCAACGGGAGCUGCCUCUGACCUCUGAAGAAUCACUUCUCAUCUCAAGACCUUUGCGCGUGCUGUCCCCUCUACCUGGAGUGCCUCUUCUUCAAAAUCCUGAUCCAAGACACUGGGUCCUACAGGGGACUGGUCCCAGUACAGGGAGACAAGGCAAGGCCUGUCCCGCCUCCACUGCCAGCCAUCAGUAGCAGCCCAGGCCUUGCAGGGGAAGCAACUCCUGGAGGCAGCAAUGGCGUCUGUGAAGGUGAGCCAGGCAACCCACAGCAAGCACUGGGAGGGCUCAGGUUUUGCCCUGGGGGAAUCCUGGGAAAUUGUGGAGGUUGG